UAGUAUAGAGAUAUCUAGUACCUUUUGUAUUAGGGUUUUUCAAGAAUUGUUUAAGAAAUUAAAAGUCUCGAAUGGAAAGAUGCAAUCAUGUUUAAGGGUAAUGACGUUGUAAAGUUAUUAGUAAAUACAUGAUAAUAGCUAUAUACUAAUUGCUUUUUCAGAUAUCUAGUUAGUCUAAAAAUGUAUUUAGUACUACUGUUAAUUUUAGUAAGUUAAAGUGAUUGGGUUAAGCUGAUCACUUGAAAUAAUGAUUUUUGUCAAAUUAAUUAAUUUAGUAGUUUUUGUAUUUUACAUCUUAUUAAAUUGUAAUAAAUAUGUUAAUUUUUUUUAUAAGACAUAUUAUAUACUUCAUUUUUUGUAAUAGGCUAAUUCUUUUUAAGAAAAUAUUAUGAUAAAAAUGAGUAGAUCUAUUAAAUAUAGGGCUAUAGAAAUUUAGCGGUUUUAAUUGUGUUAUUUAAAAAUUUUAUUUAAUGAACUCGGCAAAUUUUAUCUAUGACUGUUUAACAAAAACAUUUCCUUUUGUAUUAAUAAAAGGUAUGCCCUGCCCGGUGUUGUAUGAUAAACGGCGGCCUUAGCGUGAGGGUCCAAAGGUAGCAUAAUAAUUUGGCCUUUAAUUGGGGUCUGGAAUGAAUGGGUUAACAUGGAUAAGCUGUGUCAAAUGAGGUUAGUUGAAAUUAAUUUUGAAGUGAAGAAGCUUCAAUUUCUAGGAAAGACGACAAGACCCUACGAAGCUUUAUUUUAAGGGUAUAAUUAGAUUGUAUAUUCGAGAAUUUUGUUGGGGCAACAAAGUGAAAAUGUAUCACUUUAUAUUCUAUUAAACUUAUUAGUUAAGUCUUAUUUUAUAUGAAUAGUAAGUUACUCUAGGGAUAACAGCGCAAUCUUUUAGGAUAGUUGAAAUUGGUUAAAGGGUUUGCGACCUCGAUGUUGGCUUUGGGUAACUUAAAAGUGUAGAGGCUUUAUAAGUAGAUCUGUUCGAUCUUUAAUUCCCGACGUGAUCUGAGUUCAGACCGGCGUGAGCUAGGUCAGUUUCUAUCUUCUUGGAAUGAAAAAAUUGGGGGUUUUUGUACGAAAGGAAUUUUCAACCGGAAUGUGUUCUUUUAUUAUUUGU
rnacentral:rRNA from 1 species